UAUGCACUCUACUGUAAGUCGCUCUGGAUAAGAGCAUCUGCUGAAUGACUAAAA
rfam:Salmo salar isolate Sally breed double haploid chromosome ssa20, whole genome shotgun sequence.